rnacentral:tRNA from 1 species
GUUUAUGUAGAUUAUAUUUAAAUCGUAAGGCUGUUAACUUUAAGAAGAUUUUGGAUCCUUAGACGC